AGAACGAACGCUGGCGGCAGGCCUAACACAUGCAAGUCGAACGCGUGUAGCAAUACACGAGUGGCGCACGGGUGAGUAACACGUGGGAAUCAACCCUGAGGUUCGGAAUAACCGCGGGAAACUGCGGCUAAUACCGGAUAUCCCCCAUGGGGGAAAGAUUUAUCGCCUUGGGACGAGCCCGCGUCCGAUUAGCUAGUUGGUGAGGUAACGGCUCACCAAGGCUACGAUCGGUAGCUGGUCUGAGAGGAUGACCAGCCACACUGGAACUGAGAUACGGUCCAGACUCCUACGGGAGGCAGCAGUGGGGAAUAUUGGGCAAUGGAGGCAACUCUGACCCAGCCAUGCCGCGUGGGUGACGAAGGUCUUCGGAUUGUAAAGCCCUUUCGGCGGGGACGAUGAUGACGGUACCCGCAGAAGAAGCCCCGGCUAACUUCGUGCCAGCAGCCGCGGUAAUACGAAGGGGGCUAGCGUUGUUCGGAAUUACUGGGCGUAAAGGGCGUGUAGGCGGUCCGCUAAGUCAGGUGUGAAAGGCCUGGGCUCAACCCAGGAAAUGCGCCUGAGACUGACGGACUUGAGUCCGGGAGAGGAUGGUGGAACUCCCAGUGUAGAGGUGAAAUUCGUAGAUAUUGGGAAGAACACCCGUGGCGAAGGCGGCCAUCUGGACCGGUACUGACGCUAAGGCGCGACAGCGUGGGGAGCAAACAGGAUUAGAUACCCUGGUAGUCCACGCCGUAAACGAUGAGUGCUAGACGUUGGGAAGCCUAGCUUUUCAGUGUCGCAGCUAACGCAUUAAGCACUCCGCCUGGGGAGUACGGCCGCAAGGUUG
rnacentral:rRNA from 1 species